UUCCCAGGAAUGUGCCUGUUCACUUCUACUACAUGUUAACAGGCAUUUCUGAGGUGA
rnacentral:pre_miRNA from 1 species